UAUAUAGAGUCGGUUUAACGAAUUAAAAUGAUAGUUUAAAAUAAGAAGUAUAUUCCUAUAUAU
rnacentral:tRNA from 1 species